rnacentral:lncRNA from 1 species
UUUAAGUCAGGUCAGGGAGCAUGGAUCAUCUGUGAGCAUGUCUACAAGGAGGACAAAGCGGGUAGUACUAUGGGGUCUCUUGCAUGUACCAUGCACACUAUAGUCUAUGUGAAUGCUGCUCCCCGGAAUCAUGAAGAUUUUUUUCAGAUACCAAUUUUAUAAUGAGUGAGAAUGAUAACGAGGGACAGAACUACCAGGGGAUAGUUGUCAAUGUCUAGAAGCCUUUGUGAUUGUCAA